GAUGAACGCUGGCGGCGUGCCUAAUACAUGCCAGUCGAGCGAACGGACGAGAAGCUUGCUUCUCUGAUGUUAGCGGCGGACGGGUGAGUAACACGUGGAUAACCUACCUAUAAGACUGGGAUAACUUCGGGAAACCGGAGCUAAUACCGGAUGAUAUUUUGAACCGCAUGGUUCAAAAGUGAAAGACGGUCUUGCUGUCACUUAUAGAUGGAUCCGCGCUGCAUUAGCUAGUUGGUAAGGUAACGGCUUACCAAGGCAACGAUGCAUAGCCGACCUGAGAGGGUGAUCGGCCACACUGGAACUGAGACACGGUCCAGACUCCUACGGGAGGCAGCAGUAGGGAAUCUUCCGCAAUGGGCGAAAGCCUGACGGAGCAACGCCGCGUGAGUGAUGAAGGUCUUCGGAUCGUAAAACUCUGUUAUUAGGGAAGAACAUAUGUGUAAGUAACUGUGCACAUCUUGACGGCACCUAAUCAGAAAGCCACGGCUAACUACGUG
rnacentral:rRNA from 1 species